rnacentral:lncRNA from 1 species
GGAAUCUGUCCAGAUACAGAUGCUCAUCUAUUCACUGUUCACUCUGCUCCUCCUCCCAACGCCACUGACAGAGUUCUUGUGACUUUUGACCACUCAUCUAUGGCACGAGGGCCUGUUUUCUCUGGUAUAAACAGGUGCUUUAGGGUGUGAGGCAGGAGACACACACCCUGUAAUGUUGUCCAAUGUGUAUCAGGUUUUUUUCCCGACAGACUCCAGACCAGAACAGCAGCUACACCUGGGUUCGUCCUGAGUUCGUCUGAGUAGCAGUGAUUCUAAACCUUCUAAAAAGACCUUCUAGACGAUGCGAUAUUCACCCACACGGUCGUCACGGAACAAUCCUGAAGAAUGUAUGAAAGACAAAGAAGGAAGCUCAUCUCACCGACAUCCCAUCGCUGCUGCAGAUUCGGCCCCCUCACCGCCCGCCGGGACCCCAUGAUUAAUUGGAUAAACGCAGAUGGCGGCGCAUCACAAAGAUAUUUCUGUCACGGCAGCAGUGGAGCCUGAUGCACAAACACAACGUCAGAGGCUCUGGACCGUCGGGUGGAGGCCAGGGUUUGGUUCCAUUCCUGCCACGGAGACAGAAGAGACAAUCGGCCUGUUAAAAGUCCAGCACAGGUGGAGGACGCCGUUUAAAAACAUCCGAGUCCAAACUGCAGCCUUUCAUCCAGAGGACGGACAAGCAAAGCGGCUCCAGGGUCACGUGGCAUCAGGCAAAAAGGAACGACGACGACUAUGUUUGUUAGUUACCCCAAAAACGGAGUCAAUUAUCAUCCAAGGUCAAUUCUAUUGA